CAGAGAGCAGUGAUUGGUCAGACCAUAGAUAAUAUAGAAGACAGCGCGCUAGCGGAUCUAGUCUGUGUUUAUCUAUGGUCGGCAGGUCUGGUAGCAUCUCUGACUGCUGUUGAUCUUGUUUUUGGAGUAAAACACGGUGGAAGCUGAAUUAGUGAGGAUGACUCCUGCUCCUGUCAUCUCUAAGCUCCUCACACAUCUUUACCUGCACAUGAGGAAAAUCACUCCUGUAGAAUGCAGAUGUUCAGAGGGAGAUGAUGCCACAUCUGGUCCAGCUGAUGGAAGGUCUUGAAGUUCUCUGACUGGCCUCGACUGAAGAUGGUCGUCUCACUGGAUUUAAGAUGCACAAUGAGGGACGUCUGCAGAGACUGAGAAAGAGUCUCACCACAUCCUGACAUGAGGAAAAAGACUUUAUUGAAGACUACAAUGAGAAAAACUAUCAGACAGCAGACGGCUGCAUUCAAGAGGAAGACCAUCAAACAUCCACGUCAGCUGAUGGAGGUCCAAGAGUCUCACCCAACAAACAACCUACAGAGUGAAGACCUCAAUCUGAUUGGACGGCCUCCUAUUCAGCCACAUGUGUGAACAAAUGCCUCUAAGUUGAUUUGUUUUCUAAAAUAAAUCUAGUUUGAGUCCUAAUCUAUGCCUGUGUGUUUGCUUCUUUACACUGCUGUUAACAGUUUAGGCUGUUAGAUUGUUCCAGAUAAGACAAGUACAAGAUUCUUCAGAGCCGUUCUACCACGAGCCUGACAGGAAGAACUCCAACAGCUACUGAAUGUUCCUGUGGUUCCCUCAAGGCUACAGGAGGAGCCCUACGAGGACGAGCCGGUCCACCUGAUGGUGGCCAUCGCUGCGGUUCAAAGCCAACACCGACUACGUG
ensembl:lncRNA